AAUGCCUAUGCCCUGGGGAAGUUAACAGGAUCAUCUGUUGGCAGACAUCGUGAAUGGAGAGGAUGGGGUGCGAAGCAUUGCUGAGAAAUAACAAAGCCCUAAUUUACUUUAUAGUAGCUGCCAUGAGAGCUUAAUGCCGUUUUCCUUGGUAUCAAAAGUACUUCUGAAUGGUUAUCUCCUUCCUAACGAAGUCUCAUUCAUUUUAAUUUUUAAUUUUUUUUGCUGAAGAAGAUUCACCCUGAGCUAACAUCUGUUGCCAAUCUUCCUCUUUUUGUAUGUGAGCCGCCCCCACAGUAUGGCCACAAAUAAGUGGUAUAGGUUGGUGCCUGCCAACCAAACCCAGGCUGCCGUAGCAGAGUGUGCCAAACUUAACCACUCAGCCACCAGGGCUGGCCCUUGUUCAUUUUAAUUUUUGAGGGGGAAGGAGUGAGCAACCAAGUGGUUCACAGAAGCUGUGCCAUUCAGCAAACCACUGGAUUUAGGAACCUGAUGAUUUUGAGAUGCUAAACAUCAGUGUCUUCUGUCCCUUCAACACUCUUUCUGCUUCAUCUCUGAUUGGCUGGUCACUGGACUUGGUCUAGUGUCACUGGGAUUGUCUUUUUAAUGUAUACAAACUCCGGAGGAGGGUGAAUUAGAGGCUGCAGCCUCUGUGGAUUAGACAGGGCUUGCCCCAGAGGUCGCUUCAAUGAAGGAAUGGAACAAGUGGGCUCACCAGCCCUAUAUAGAAAGCAUACAGGUGGGAUGGGCAGUCACACAGAACCAGCCUGACCCUUAACAGAAAUUGCUUAGAGCAUGAAUGGAUCUGAGGACCUGAAUCAAGACUGGAUGGAGUGUUGUGGAGUCAGAGGUCUGGAGCAGUGCCUCAGUUCAAGGGACACUGGUGGUAAAUGCAUCCUGAGCCCAGCACUGAUUGUGUGAGGAGAUCCAUGUAGAGCAUGAACACUCACAAGUUUGUCACUCCGGGGACCCUUAGCCUCAGGUGUUGGUUGGUGGUGUACAGACUGAUGAGGAUUUUAGGCUGGUUAAUUUUAAAACUGCAGAUGAGAAGCAGGCUCCAAGGAGUGGAAU
rnacentral:lncRNA from 1 species